AAGGUGUUUCCGUGAGAGCAGCUCACCUGUCAAGAAGUUCCCGAUGAAGCGUGCAUAGAAGGGAACCUCCCAGCUAACAAGGUUCCCCAGUCCUGAGCCCCGAAGAGGCGCCCAGGCCACUGAGGAGGCGGCCAGGAGGCCCCUGGUUACAGCAGCAUCCACGGAGCACCUCGGCACCUGGCCCACAUGGAGGGCGCUGGGUUGGCGGGGAGCCACGGAGGACCUCGAAUGGAAUGGACACGGGGACGCCAGCAGAUGUCCCAGGGACGUGCCGUAGAUCGCCCUUCACGCUGGGAUCUGUUCCUACGGGCCUCAUGCCGACCUCGAUCUGAGGGAAGGUGGGAGCCAGCGCUGUGGGAGACUGGGCAGUGAGUCCACAUCGCAAGCGGGGCUCUGCUUCCUCCCCUCCCUACAGACUGGGGGGCUGACCUCUGGUCACCCUUGCCAGGUCCUCUGCAUUCCUGGGGAGCUGUAGGCACCAGGGUGUCACCUGGGCUUGAUUUCUAGUGACCUCUCAUGUCCAUCCCGAGUCCGGACACCAAGACUUGUGACCAUUCCUUUCCCCAAGACACGCUGCGGAGGACGGCUGGACUGAGCGCAGCCUUGCGGCCUCGGUUCCAGGGAGGACAGCCCAGGGCGCCCGAGUCCUGGUGCUCAUGACAGACGCCUGUGACACUGGGGACACAUGGACAUUUUCUCUGGAGCAGGACAAGUGAGGGCAGGUUCGCAGCCAGCCCACAGCGCCAGUGGCCCUCUUGACCAGAGUCCUGCCGGGAUCCAGGCUGGCCCACGGGGGCAGGUGGACGCUGCUGCCCGUGGUUGUCUGCAGCUUCCGGAGGCGUGGGCUUCCGAGGCCUGUAGGGUGAGCACCCAGGGUCCCUCGGCCCCAGCGCACACGUCGCCCCCGGACUGGGGUCCACAAGAGCGCCCUGUCCCAUUGUGCGCCCCAGGUCCCUGCAGCAGCCCGGGGCAAUCUGGUUUUAUCACGCACUUGUUUACUUGUCAGCUUGAGCACUGGGCGUCGUGGGAUUCUCACACCCCGCACACCUGGCAGGUGGAGGUGGCUGCGGGGCUAGAUGCUCUCACUCCGCUGGUGGUCGUGCACACGGGAGACAUGACUUUCCAAGCACGUCAGAUGAACUUUGACGUUAUAAUCUCUUCACUUCUUCAGUCUUUAGAAAGCGAGUAUGUUGCACGUCUGGGGGACGUGUUGUCCUCGUUCUGUGGUUUCUGUGGUUCACCUUUCACGUGGUGCUUUCUUAAUCCAGGUGAGUGUUGCACUGGUUCGUUUCUGGCUGCCUCCCCAGCACUCAUCCCAGAACGUGUCCUUGUGCUGCUGCUCAUGGAUAAGGUUUUCUUCUGUAAUAAAAGUCUGCUCUAAAAAAAAAAAAAAAAAAAAAAAAAAAAGUCUGCUCUGUUCACUGGGUCCAGUCAUCUCCCUGCAGUUUGGGGGUGCAGUCAGGACCCCCCAGGGAGGUGCUGGGUCUGGCCUCAGGCCUGCAGAGCCAGACACCCAACUGGCCACUGCCUCAAGGUAACCAAACUUGUAAGAGACUGACAUAAUCGGAGAAGGAAUCCACUGACUUAGGAUGAGAGUGACUCCUGUGGGACAAAAUACUGUGUCCCUCUGUAGACACAGCUGUCCCGGCCCCAGGUUCUGGGGGACUAGAGGUUCCUUGGUUGCCUGAUGCCUGCGGUCAUAACCCUGGAGGGGGUCUGGGAGACCCCGACCUCGUGAGACCCUGGGAUGAUGCCCUGCAAGCACUGAGUGCUGAAGAGCCUGGGUUGGGCCCCUGUCCCAUACCCUUGCUCGUUUGCCUUCCAAGGAAGAGCUGUCCUCUUGAGGGCAGCCCUGCCCCCCAGAAGGGUACACAGGAAUACCUGGAGACAUUCUUGGUUGUCUCCGCUGAGGGGAGGGGCCACCAGACCCUGCAGAGCACAGUAUGCCUGGGGGCAAGGACCAGGCCAAGGAUGGGACUGCAAAGUCCCCGCACAGUCAGGUGAUGGGGAGACGCCCGAGGGCAGACAGAGGAGCAGCACUGUGGGCCAGGGCUUUGGGUGGCAAAACCAGGGGCCAGGCAGCUUUCUGCAGAGACCCAGACACUUGACAGGAGGCCUGUUGAGGCUGAAGAGCGGGAGCCGAGCCUCCAAGGCAUCUGGCACCCCACUAAAGGGCCACACAGGAGGGGGUGAGGGGAGACUGAGGAGGGGGUGGGAGAGGCGAGCCCCAGCCACCUCUGUGCGUUCGUUGGGGGCCAUGUGUCCAGAACAGAACUCGGCUGUGGCCAUUGCCCCAUCCCAGAAAGUGGGCCAGCUGCCACACUCCAGCCCAAACGCCAGGUUGUCGUGCCCCACAUCCCAGCAAACAGCAGGUAAUGUCAGUUUGGUCCCCAGCACGGCCCUACCCAGCCCACACUCUAAACCACCUGCCUCCUCCUGCCUCCCUAAACAGAUCUUAAAAUGUGCAUCAGGCGUCACUCCCCUGCUCAGGACCCUCAGUGGCUCCUGGUGCAGAUCAAAUCCGGGCUCCUAAUCACGGCUUCAAGACAGCUUGCCCCCCAUGUCCCAUUCUCCUUCCCUCACCCCCGCCCCCGCUUGCUUGUUCUCCUCCAAACCCUUGGGGACACUCAUGCCUCAGGACCCUGGCACAUGCUCUUCCUUCUGCUUUGAAUCUCCUCCCUCUAGUGACUAGCUUGCCCUACCUACUCUCCUCCCUCUCCUCUCGUGUUGCUUGCUUAGGGAGCCCUCGUCGGACCACUAGGCGCUUCCCUGCGUGCUUCCUUGGGGCGCUUACGCCGGCGUGGGUGCGGCCGUGUUCCCGUUUGUUGUGUGCUUUC
rnacentral:lncRNA from 1 species